UAGGGAAUCUUGCGCAAUGGGCGAAAGCCUGACGCAGCAACGCCGCGUGGGGGAUGAAGGCUCUCGGGUUGUAAACCCCUUUCAGCAGGGACGAUUAUGACGGUACCUGCAGAAGAAGGACCGGCCAACUACGUGCCAGCAGCCGCGGUAAUACGUAGGGUCCGAGCGUUGUCCGGAUUUAUUGGGCGUAAAGAGCUCGUAGGCGGCUCAGUGAGUCGGAUGUGAAAACUCGGGGCUCAACCCCGAGACGCCAUCCGAUACUGCUGUGGCUUGAAUCUGGUAGGGGAGAUCGGAAUUCCUGGUGUAGCGGUGAAAUGCGCAGAUAUCAGGAGGAACACCGGUGGCGAAGGCGGAUCUCUGGGCCAGUAUUGACGCUGAGGAGCGAAAGCGUGGGUAGCAAACAGGAUUAGAUACCCAAGUAGUCCCUGAGCGGGCUGGCAAGGCGCAU
rnacentral:rRNA from 1 species